rnacentral:misc_RNA from 1 species
AACCAUAGAAACCUGCGGAGUACCUGCGGAAGGAUCAUUACCGAGUUUACAACUCCCAAACCCCUGUGAACAUACCUAUACGUUGCCUCGGCGGAUCAGCCCGCGCCCCGUAAAACGGGACGGCCCGCCGCAGGACCCACAAACCCUGAAUUUUAUUGUAACUUCUGAGUUUAAAAAACAAAUAAAUCAAAACUUUUAACAACGGAUCU